rnacentral:rRNA from 1 species
GUAGGUGGCAAGCGUUGUCCGGAAUUAUUGGGGCGUAAAGCGCGCGCAGGUGGUUCUUUAAGUCUGAUGUGAAAGCCCCCGGGCUCAACCGGGGAGGGUCAUUGGAAACUGGGGAACUUGAGUGCAGGAGAGGAAAGUGGAAUUCCACGUGUAGCGGUGAAAUGCGUAGAUAUGUGGAGGAACACCAGUGGCGAAGGCGACUUUCUGGCCUGUAACUGACACUGAGGCGCGAAAGCGUGGGGAGCAAACAGGAUUAGAUACCCUGGUAGUCCACGCCGUAAACGAUGAGUGCUAAGUGUUGGGGGGUUUCCGCCCCUCAGUGCUGCAGCUAACGCAUUAAGCACUCCGCCUGGGGAGUACGGUCGCAAAGACUG